AAAGUAGGACGGUUUGCCGCUGCAUAGUUUUCUAUGAAGAGGAAAGUCCGGGCAACAGAGAGCACCAUUCUUCCUAACGGGAAGUGGGCUGUGAAGUUCAAGUAGCGUAACAGAAAAUAACCGCCUUGAUUCGUCGAGGUAAGGGUGAAAAGGCAGGGUAAGAGCCUACCGUGGUCGUGGCAACACAACCAGCCGUACGCCUAAUGGGUUGAAAGAUCAUGUAUAUCAGCGCUAUAGGGCUGCUCGUCCGAUGCUGAGGGGUAGAUCGAUAAAAGCUAAUGGCGACAUUGGUUUUAGAUAAAUGGCAAACAUUCCGCCUGUCGGAAUACAGAACCCGGCUUAUAGUCCUACUUCUUAU
rnacentral:RNase_P_RNA from 2 species